AGUGAACGCUGGCGGCAGGCCUAACACAUGCAAGUCGAACGGGAGCACAGUAAGAGCUCGCUCUUAUGGGUGGCGAGUGGCGGACGGGUGAGGAAUACACCGGAGACUACGUUUUCGUGGGGCAUAACGUAGGGUAACUUACGCUAAUACCGCAUAAGACCUAAGGGUGAAAUCAGGGGAACUUCGGACGUUGCGAGAUUGAAUGAGUCGAUGGUGGAUUAGCUAGUUGGGGGGGUAAAGGCCCACUAAGGCGACGAACGGAAGCGGGUCUGAAAGGAUGGUCAGCCACACGGGAACGGAGCAAGGGCCGAGACUCCGACGGGGGGAAGCGGUGGGGAAUAUUGGACAAUGGGGACAAGCCUGCUCCAGCCAUACCGGGGGGGUGAAGAGGCCCUUGGGGUGUUAAAGUCCUUUUGUUGGGAAGGAAAAGCAGCAGGUUAAUACCCCGAUGUACUGACGGUACCCAAAGAAGAAGCACCGGCUAACUUCGUG
rnacentral:rRNA from 1 species